AUUGAACGCUGGCGGCAGGCUUAACACAUGCAAGUCGAGCGGAGCGAGGGUGCUUGCACCUUAGCUUAGCGGCGGACGGGUGAGUAAUGCUUAGGAAUCUGCCUAUUAGUGGGGGACAACAUUCCGAAAGGAAUGCUAAUACCGCAUACGCCCUACGGGGGAAAGCAGGGGAUCUACGGACCUUGCGCUAAUAGAUGAGCCUAAGUCGGAUUAGCUAGUUGGUGGGGUAAAGGCCUGCCAAGGCGACGAUCUGUAGCGGGUCUGAGAGGAUGAUCCGCCACACUGGGACUGAGACACGGCCCAGACUCCUACGGGAGGCAGCAGUGGGGAAUAUUGGACAAUGGGCGGAAGCCUGAUCCAGCCAUGCCGCGUGUGUGAAGAAGGCCUUUUGGUUGUAAAGCACUUUAAGCGAGGAGGAGGCUCUUAAGGUUAAUACCCUUGAUGAGUGGACGUUACUCGCAGAAUAAGCACCGGCUAACUCUGUGCCAGCAGCCGCCGUAAUAC
rnacentral:rRNA from 1 species